GCGGGCGUGGCGGAACUGGAAUACGCGUGCGGUUCAGAACCGUAUGCCGAAAGGCUUGUGGGUUCGACUCCCACCGUCCGCA
rnacentral:tRNA from 1 species